ACGGAUCCAUAUUGAAACCUAGUGAUGUAUGGAUUAGUGGCGGACGGGUGAGUAACGCGUGGAUAACCUGCCGUAUACAGGGGGAUAACACUUAGAAAUAGGUGCUAAUACCGCAUAAGCGCACGGUUCCGCAUGGAACAGUGUGAAAAACUUCGGUGGUAUACGAUGGAUCCGCGUCUGAUUAGCCAGUUGGCGGGGUAACGGCCCACCAAAGCGACGAUCAGUAGCCGGCCUGAGAGGGUGAACGGCCACAUUGGGACUGAGACACGGCCCAAACUCCUACGGGAGGCAGCAGUGGGGAAUAUUGCACAAUGGGGGAAACCCUGAUGCAGCGACGCCGCGUGAGUGAAGAAGUAUUUCGGUACGUAAAGCUCUAUCAGCAGGGAAGAAAAGAAGUCCUUUGGAUUUUGGACGGUACCUGACCAAGAAGCCCCGGCUAACUACGUGCCAGCAGCCGCGGUAAUACGUAGGGGGCAAGCGUUAUCCGGAUUUACUGGGUGUAAAGGGAGCGUAGACGGCAGCGCAAGUCUGGAGUGAAAUGCCGGGGCCCAACCCCGGAACUGCUUUGGAAACUGUGCAGCUCGAGUGCAGGAGAGGUAAGCGGAAUUCCUAGUGUAGCGGUGAAAUGCGUAGAUAUUAGGAGGAACACCAGUGGCGAAGGCGGCUUACUGGACUGUAACUGACGUUGAGGCUCGAAAGCGUGGGGAGCAAACAGGAUUAGAUACCCUGGUAGUCCACGCCGUAAACGAUGAUUACUAG
rnacentral:rRNA from 1 species